GAAUAACGUGGUAUUUUAAUUAACAACUGAUAGGUUAUAGUUUCCGGUGCAUCGUACAAUACCUACAUUGAAAAAUAAUGAAAGUAGUAGAGUAGUUGAAAUUAUGACAAAGUAAUUACAGUACAUUAAUAAAUUAUGCAACCAGCUGUAACAAUGAACCUAAAACUAAAAACCUUACAAAAUAAUAAUUACAAUAAUAAUUGCCAUAAGCGGCAAUCUAUUUUUAUAUAGUGCUUUUAAAAAAUUGUAUUUUUAAUACCUUUUUUGAAAAAUAUUGUGUAAUUAAUAAUAACUUAAUACGUGAUUCGCUACACUACAAACAGCUACUAGACUUAACAUGUCCGCGGAACUAAACAGCUUCAAACAGCUACUAGACUUAAUAUGUCCGCGGAACUAAACAGCUACAAACUACAAACAGCUACUAGACUUAACAUGUUCGUGAAACUAAACAGUUCCGCGAACAUGUUUACUGGAACUAGUUCCGACACUCAAAAGAACGAUGUCAUGUUCAAUCCAGUUCUGAACAUGAUUAGCGCACGUCUAAUCGACAACGUAAAUGCGCGCUACACGCCUCGAGAUACGAGUUCUAAAUCUCAGUUUUAACACUACAACGGUUGCCCCACCCUUCAAACUGAAACGCAUUACUGCUUCACGGCAGAAAUAAGCGGAGUGGUGGUACCUACCCGUGCGGACUCACGCGAGGUCUAACCACCAGUAAUUACGCAAAUUAAAUUUUUCCGAGAUUGAUUUUUAUUACGCGAUGUGAUUGAGUGAUGAACAUUUGUUAGGUACGUAUUUCAUAGUCUCUAUCUUCGAUCAACAAUAGUAACUAGAUUUCGGGUCGGUGCAUAAAAUCCGUCUCGUCAAAUAACAGCGCACUUGAAAUGUGAGCUGUUAUUUUGUUUAGUUCACUUCAAACACAGCCAAUGUCAACCCGUCUCACAAUACCGCAGUGUGUAUUCAAAAGUUGCAAAAAUAAGGCCCGAAAAAGCAAUUUAACGGCCGGAAUAUCUUACUUUCGCUUUCCUAGCAAUCACGUGUGCAGAAUGGAUCUGGAUUGUCUCCAGAGAAACAAGAGAUGACUUUUAUAAGCCAGCUAAGAUCUCCGCUUAUUGACACUGGACAUCUUUGUCUUCCGUGCUCACGGCUACUGAAACGUGGCCGAAACAUUGUAAUAAAAAUACCGCGCUUGAAACCGUUUAAA